UGUGAGUAGUACCCCAGAUCACGUAAGAUCUUAAUGUGAUCUGGGGCAGUACCUUCUCCCGCUUCUGGCUACAGAUGUGUGGCUUUGCACCACUAUCUAAAUUGCUCCAGUUUGGAAAUCGUAGAUCCGGGGCUGAUGCACAGAGCAGUCAGAGUUGUUGUGGGGAGGAGGUAAAUUAUAAUGAAGAUAAGAUAGGCAUAAAUUUAAAAGAACUGGAGAACGGAGAAAGAGAGUACCGAAAAAGGAAACUCAGUCCAUCUAAUGGACAUGAAAAGACUUCUGAAGAUGUAAAAUCAGAACAUAAUAGAGCUCAGGACUCUUCUGAUUCAUCAGAAGAGGAGACAGAAUAUGAUCUUAAAAGAAAAAAGGUUUUAGAGGAAAGAGAGCGGAUGCUAAGGGAUAUAGGUGUCACAACAGCUAAAGAAGAGGUCCAAGAGGUCAUUGAUAAAAUUAAAGCAGUAAACAAGGAGAAAAGAAAAUCAAUAAAAAGCUAUGUAACCCGUACUCGGGAAUCACUGCCAUGUCGUGCUUCCAUGAGACUCAAAGGUCAAGCUCCUGAUGGUAUUGAAGUAAUUACAGAAUCUUUGGAAUCUUUCUUGAAAGUAUCUUCUAGAAAACCUGCAGAUCCCAUUGAUAUGAAGUUGUCAGAUAGUGACUCUGAAACAAUUUCAAAUGAUUAUUUGCUUGAUUUGAAGCCACAUUUAACACAGAAACUAACUGGGCCAGCUUUAGAGGCAGAUAAUCUUACCAGUUUUAAGUCGAGGGUAGAGAAACUGAAAUUAUCUCCAAGCAGAAUAGAGAAAGUAGUACAAGGGAGGGUGACAGCAGCAGCUGUACAUCCGUCUGAAAGUAAUCUUCUGGUAGCUGUUGGAGACAAAUAUGGAAAUAUUGGAUUCUGGGACAUUAAAUUCAAGAAAGAUAGUAUCUCAUUUCAGCCACAUUCUCGUAGCAUAAGCCACAUGACUUUUUCUGUGUUCGGUUCAGAAAAGCUGAUAAGUACCAGUUUGGAUGGAACUGUCAGAUGUGGAGAUCUGAACAAGGAAGUUUUUACUCAGGUUUAUGCAAGUGAUGAAGAUACAUAUGGACACCAUACUUGUUGGCAUACAGAAAUGAGCAGAGAAGUGCUGUUGAUAGCUCAUGGCUCAGGGGAAGUAGGAGUAUUUGACCAAAGAGAAGGAAAGCUGUCUUACAUGUACAAAUGUCAUGAGAGGUCUGUGAAAACUGUGCAGCAUCAUCCAGUCGCUGAAAAUUAUUUUGUCACAGGCUCAGGACUUGGGGAAGCACGAAUAUGGGACUUAAGAGAGAUCCAGAAAUCCAAGCCCAAGCCACUGACAGAUCUGAAGCAUCCAAAAACUUUAACAGGAUGCUUCUUCUCUCCAGCUGGAAACUAUUUGUUAACUACAUGCAAUGAUGAUAGGGUUAGAGCAUAUGACACAACAAAGUUUCGAUCUGAGGUCCCAAAAGUUGUAAUGAAUAUUGCUCUUAACAAUCACAUUGGAAGAUGGCUCACAACAUUCAAAGCAAAAUGGCACCCUCUGCGUGAAGACGCAUUUGUUAUCGGCAGCAUGAUGCAUCCAAGACGGGUGCAGCUGUAUGGUAUUCAUGGAAAAAUAGUUCAUGAACUCAUGGAUCCAGAACUUCAGGUGGUUAUCUCUGUUUGCGAAUUUCACCCAACUCAGCUGGCUUUUGUUGGUUGCAGCAGCUCUGGCAGAAUAUAUGCUUUUGUGUAAAUAUUUGUUUGAAGCACCAGUUUCAUACAGCGAACACUUUUUGUUAAUGAAGAUGUACUUAUUUUUUAAAGCACCUUUCCCUGAUUUUUAACCUUUUUAUUGAUUGUUCGUGCAAAAUUAAAAUUUCAGUUGAAACACAUAA